rnacentral:rRNA from 1 species
GCUUACGGCCAGACCAGUGUGAAUGCGCCUGAUUUCAUCUGAUCUCGGAAGCUAAAACACACUUGGUCUCGGCCAGUACUUGGAUGGGAGACCACAUAGGAUCCCCCGAGUGCUGUAACCU